rnacentral:rRNA from 1 species
GACGAACGCUGGCGGCGUGCUUAACACAUGCAAGUCGAACGGAAAGGCCCUGCUUUUGUGGGGUGCUCGAGUGGCGAACGGGUGAGUAACACGUGAGUAACCUGCCCUUGACUUUGGGAUAACUUCAGGAAACUGGGGCUAAUACCGGAUAGGAGCUCCUGCUGCAUGGUGGGGGUUGGAAAGUUUCGGCGGUUGGGGAUGGACUCGCGGCUUAUCAGCUUGUUGGUGGGGUAGUGGCUUACCAAGGCUUUGACGGGUAGCCGGCCUGUGAGGGUGACCGGCCAAAUUGGGACUGAGAGACGGCCCAGAAUGCUACGGGAGGCAGCAGUGGGGAAUAUUGCACAAUGGGCGGAAGCCUGAUGCAGCAACGCCGCGUGCGGGAUGACGGCCUUCGGGUUGUAAACCGCUUUCGCCUGUGACGAAGCGUGAGUGACGGUAAUGGGUAAAGAAGCACCGGCUAACUACGUG